UGGGGAAUAUUGGACAAUGGGCGAAAGCCUGAUCCAGCCAUGCCGCGUGUGUGAAGAAGGUCUUCGGAUUGUAAAGCACUUUAAGUUGGGAGGAAGGGCAUUAACCUAAUACGUUAGUGUUUUGACGUUACCGACAGAAUAAGCACCGGCUAACUCUGUGCCAGCAGCCGCGGUAAUACAGAGGGUGCAAGCGUUAAUCGGAAUUACUGGGCGUAAAGCGCGCGUAGGUGGUUUGUUAAGUUGGAUGUGAAAUCCCCGGGCUCAACCUGGGAACUGCAUUCAAAACUGACUGACUAGAGUAUGGUAGAGGGUGGUGGAAUUUCCUGUGUAGCGGUGAAAUGCGUAGAUAUAGGAAGUAUCUCCAGUGGCGAAGGCGACCACCUGGACUAAUACUGACACUGAGGUGCGAAAGCGUGGGGAGCAAACA
rnacentral:rRNA from 1 species